GACGAACGCUGCCGGCGUGCUUAACACAUGCAAGUCGACGGGAGUGGCGAACGGGUGAGUAACACGUGAGUAACCUGCCCUUUUCUUUGGGAUAAGCCUGGGAAACUGGGUCUAAUCCUGGAUGGUUUGGGAUGGGCUCGCGGCUUAUCCGCUUGUUGGUGGGGUGAUGGCUUACCCAGGGUUUGACGGGUAGCCGGCUUGAGAGGGUGUACGGUCAAACAGGGGCUUGGGUACGGCCCAGAGACCGACGGGAGGAAGCAGUGGGAGAUAUUGCACAAUGGACGAAAGUCUGAUGCAGCGACGUCGUGUGGGGGAUGAAGGCCUUCGGGUUGUAAACUCCUUACGCCCGCGGAAUGGUAGUGGGUAAAGAAGCGCCGGCUAACUACGUGCCAGCAGCCGCGGUAAUUC
rnacentral:rRNA from 1 species